UCUCUCUCAUGUCCCUGAAUCUACGCUCCCCUAACUUCUCUCUUUGUCGGUUACCUAUUUUUCGCCAAUUUACAGCGGUUGUCUCUCCCCUAACUUCUCCCACGUUCGUCUGCCACUGUGUAUAAAACUAUCACCUGACAUCCUCUCCAAUCCAUUAUACACCAUCCUCUCGAAUUCUCUGCUCCUCUCUCACCAAGAAAACCCAAAUCAACAAUCGAAUUUUCUCUGGCCGUCUCUCCUCCAACCAAAUCCAAAUCAACAAUCAAUUGUUGAUUUGCAUCUCUAACCCAAAAGGCAUAGAAGCAUCUAAUUGUUUACACCCAAAUUGGAAAAAUUAGGGUUCGCUUUGUUAAAUGUGAAGUGAGUCGUCGGCCACUCAUGUCCACCGCCACCAUCGCUACCACUGAAGUGAGUCGCUGACCAACUGCCACCACUCUCCUAUGGAUGCCUAACAUCCAUCGCCACCAUCGUUGUUGGGGUUUGUGUUGAAGUCGACGAUUCUUGCGUCAUUGGAUCAGGAAGAAUGAACAAGGACGACGGGCGGUGUUGGUGAAGAUGUAGGAUGACGGGUGACACUGGUGUUCUUCCCAUAAAAAAACACAAUCUCGGUUCCGGUGAACGUAGGGUUCCUCCAUGACCUCAUACAAAGGUGGUGAUGGAGUCUGAGUAACCAGCAACGAUGGUUAAAGGAUUCAAGUGGGUGAAGACGAUCCAACAUGUUUUCUGGCGAGUCUCCUGUAAGUUUCUUGUGUUUUUCAUGUCUCUAUUUUAACCCAUCGGUGUUAGUGAAGGAAUUUAAGCGGCAAAGACAAGAAGCUAGAGUUCCGGCCAAGUACGGCAAGGUUCCGGUGACCUGAUUCAGUUAUGGCGAUAAAGCUGACCGGCUCAACAUUUUGCAAAAACCGCUACGGUUUCGGGUGCGUUUAAUUCCAAUAUUGAUUUUGCUUUUCCUUUGGAUGGUGAUGGUCAUGAAAGGGACCUAUGGACUUCGUUGACUUCUGCUGAACCAAGAAGAGAAGUAGAACAAGAAUGGUUUUUGGAGAGCCAGUGAUAAGGUAUAGGGGUGGCAUUGAUGGUUUUGAAGCUACUGCUGUUGAAUCUGAUCAGAAACUUGAUGUCACUAGUGAUUCGGUUGCGUCAUACUCUCAACACCUUGAAACGAGGAAUGAUUUUGGGGGUUCUUGGAGAUAUAGCCGGAUGUCAUGGAACCGAAUUUGGGGGUUCUUGGUGGUAUAUUGGGCUUCCAUGGAAAAGAAGGCGUGUAUUAGGAAGCCUACUCAUUUGAAGGCAUUCACUGUCAAUUAG